UACGGCCCCACAGAAGGGUGUGGGUCAGAGCUGGUGGCCCUCAAGGAGAGAGUCUUUCAGGGCUCUCCUUCCUCCCAAUCUCCCAGGGGGAGAAGCAGCCCUUCCAGCUGCAGAGCAAAGGCAGGGCCCCUUUGGGGGCCGUCAGCUCCCACUCAGAGAGGAGGGGAGUUGCUACUUCCUCCUGGGGAGGAGGAGGGAGGAAAGGAGGUCACUGGGGACGGGGCUUCUGUGCUCAGGAGCACACUGGUGCUCUCCCUCCCCUGCAGAGAGCCAGCAGCUGGGCUGAGUGGUGGUGGGCCCCUACAUGUACACCCGUGGCAGAGAGCUGGAGCACUGGGACGAGAUGCUCAGCAAGCCCAAGGAGCUGGUGAAGCGCUGGCAUGCGCUCUGCCGCACCACGGAGCCCUGACCCUUCGCCCAGCACCGCGGUUCCGCUUUGGGAGCCGACCAUCCUCGCAGUUGCACGUGACAGCCACAGCCACACGCAUGGACGUUUCAUCCAACAGCUCCCCGAGCUGCCAGGCCAGCCCGAGCCAGGAGGACGUGAGUGCUGAUAUGCAGGAGAGAAGAGGGGACAAAGAAGUCCUGGCCCGGUCAGCGGCUCUGGCCAUACAGCCUUCCGACACACUCCCUCCUCCUUGCCUGCAGGGCUGCCUGGGCUCGGAAUCCCAGCCCCUGGUCCUCACAGCCCUGAUUUGGACCAGAAUCUCAGGUGCUCAGAAGAAAGAUCCUGUUUAGUGAUGACCCAGCUCUACCUGCUGAAUGGACCUGCAGGGUAAACUUGGGUGCCUCCAUCUGGGAAAGCUGAUGAUGUGUUCAUGCAGUCGAUGACCCUCACUGCUUUUUCAGCCAGGGUUUCUCUGCCUUCUGCCUGGCAGAGAAAACACACUGCUAUGGGGAAAAUCACAGGGAGGGCGCUGUGACCAGCACACUCAGGCACCAAGUGUCGGCAUGGCUCACUGUGCUGGGUGAAGGCCUCCCUGAGCAUUAGGUCCUCCACGGGGCUGUGUCAAAUGCCCUCCCACAUUGUGUCAAGUCUGCCCAUGGCCCACCCUCCCCACAGUCCAAAACCACACAGCCCUGGUUCUCCAGCUGUUCUGCUGCUGUUUCUGUGCUCUCCCUGAUUAAGAGCAUUCAGUUCCUGGGCUCUCCCUUUGAGCAGGAAAUGGUGAAAGCAUGUGGCUAUGGUAUAGCCCACAGGGCUGAGAUUGCUGUGUUGCAGUAUUGAUGUAAAAUUUGUUAAGAAGGAAGUACCCACAGAUCACUGCCAUCAACUCCCCAGAAGUUGCACUCAAGCUAGUGAGCAGCCCUUGUGCUUGUCACAGUUACUGUAACAGGUAGUGUGUAUUUGCACCUGGCAUCGUGCAGCCUGCACGUCAACACGUUGUUUUGCGUAACUAGAACAGCACAUGGAACCACUAUCUCUUUCUCUUUUUUCCUUCUUUUUCUUUUUUUUUUUUUUUUUUUUUUUUUGAGACAGAGUUUCCCUCUUGUCACCCAGGCUGGAGUGCAAUGGCGUGAUCUCGGCUCACUGCACCCUCCACCUCCCAGGUUCAAGCGAUUCUCCUGCCUCAGCCUCCCAAGUAGCUGGGAUUACUGGCACCCGCCACCAUGCCUGGCUAAUUUUUUUUAUUUUUAAUAGAGACGGAAUUUUACCAUGUUGGCUAGGCUGGUCUCAAAUUCCUGGCCUCAGGUGAUCCACCUGCCUCAGCCUCCCAAAGUGCUGGGAUUACAGGCAUGAGUAACCGCACCCGGCCCGACCAGUAUCUUUUUCUUAUGCAGUGAAACAACUUUAGCAAAAGAGGCAAUGAAUGUUAUACUGAGUUUGUACCUCUUUAACUCCACCUGCAAUUUCUGUCAAUCUACAAAUACAAGUGUCGCCUCGCAGUGUUUCGUAUGGACAGAAUAUCUUGUGUUUGCUUUUUGUCACUUAUUUCACUUGCACAUUUUCUUUUGUUUGUUUGUUUGUUUGUUUUUUGAGACGGAGUCUCGCUCUGUCGCCCAGGCUGGAGUGCGGUGGCGCGAUCUAGGCUUACUGCAAGCUCCACCUCCCGGGUUUACUUACGCCAUUGUCCUGCCUCAGCCUCCGGAGUCGCUGGGACUACAGGCGCCUGCCACCACGCCCUGCUAAUUUUUUGUAUUUUCAAGUAGAGACGGGGUUUCACUGUGUUAGCCAGGAUGGUCUCGAUCUCCUGACCUCAUGAUCUACCCGCCUCGGCCUCCCAAAGUGCUGGGAUUACAGGCGUGAGCCACCACGCCCGGCCCACUUGCACAUUUUCAAAGUAGUCCACAAAGCUGUAGUUUCUAAUAGCUUCAUAGUUCACAUGUAAUAGGGGUUCUCUGUGUGUUUAUAGAGCAGGCUACUACAGUGGAACUGUUCCUGUUUCAUCUGACAUCCGGAUAGAUGCCAGCCACCCCCACAUUCCAAAGUGAGAUUUCUGACUAGCAGUGACUUUUCUAGGGCCACGUGGAAAAGUUGAUAAGUAUCCUUUUCUGCAGGACAGAGUAGACUGGUAUCUCUGACUCAUCCCUGAAAAAUCUAAAUGGCAAGAGACUAGCUGGCUCUCUGAUGGGGAGGAGGUUGUUGUUUUGGUUGUUCUCUACAGACAUAGUCAGGGCAAAAAGCAUACACAUGCUUUCCAUGGACCAGAGAGACCUGGCCUGGGUUGUCUCAAAUCCUGUCCACAAGGCAACUCCAGAAGAAAGAAGCCCUUUACAUUUCCAUAAAACACUUUAGAAUCAGCUAGUCAAUUUCCACAAAAUAAAGUGCUAGAAUUUUAUUGGAUUUAAUUGAUUAUGUAGAACAAUUUGGGGGCCAUUUGACAUCAUUAAAAUAUUCAAUUUUCCUAUUCAUUAACAUGGUAUAUCUCUUCACUUUAAGUCUUUUGUAUGUUUCUCAGAACUAUUUUUGUGGUUUUCAGUAAAGUGUUCUUGCACAUCCUUCAAUAGAUUUAUUCUUAGACGUUUUAUAUUUGUUUAUGGCUAGUAUAUACAGAUUCUGUUGCUACAAAACUAUGUUGACCUUGUUAUCCAGUGAGUGGCCUUGUGACAUUCAUUUAAAUUAUAAUAAUUUGCAGAUUAUUUUUGUAUAAUCAUGUCCUCUGUGAAUGACAGUUUUAUUUCUUCCUUUCUUAAUCUUUAUGCCUUAUUUAGCUCUUGCCAAACUGCAGGGGCUGAGCAAUUGGACAAGAUAAAGAAAUAAAAGUGAUCCAGAUCAUAAAGAAAGAAGUAAAACUAUAUCUGCACAUGACAUAAUCUUGUCUAUGGAAAAUCCUAAGGAAUCCACACACAAAAAAACUACUAGAGCUAAUAAGUUCAGCAAGGUUGCAAGAUAUAAAAUUGGUAUACAAAUUGCAGUGGCUAGGACCUCCAGCAGAAUGCUGACUAUAAGUAGUGAUAGUGGGUAUUCUUGUCUCAUCCUCAAUCUCAGGGGUGGUGGGUGUGGCAUGUGGAGAGUUGUCAAUAUUCACCAUGAAGUUUGAUGGUUGUUAUAGGAUUUUUAAUGUACUCAUUAACAUAUAUUCUCAAGCUGUUAAAAAGAUUUUUUUUAAUUACAAAUGAGGUUAAAUUUCUCUCAAAUACUUAUUCUGCACCUUUUGAAAUAAUUUUAUUUUUCUCCUUUAUUCUUUGGAUGUGAUGACUUAUACUAAUUGACUGUUGAAUGUCAAACCAAACUUAACAUUCUUGUAAUAGAAACCAGCAGGGUGUGUACGCGUUUGUGUGUGUGCACAGGUUUAUACACAUAAACACAAUAAUACUUGGACUUAUUUAUUUAAAAUUUAGAUUUAUUAGAGGGAGCAUGGCCAUAAAAUAAAAUAAAAUAAAAUUUAGAUUUAAGUCAAGCUCAGUGGCUCACAUCUAUUAUCCCAGCACUUUGGAAGGCCAAGGCAGGUAGAUUGUCUAAGCUCAGGAAUUUGAGACCAACGUGGUGAAACUCGGUCUCUACAAAAACCACAAAAAUUAGCCAGGUAUGGUGUCACAUGCCUGUUGUCCCAGCUACUUGGAGGGCUGGGGCAGGAGUAUUGCGUGAGCCCAGGAGGUUAAGGCUGAAGUGAGUCAUGUUCACGCCACUGCACUACAGCCUGGAUAACAAAGCGAGACUCUGUCUCCAAAAAUAAAAUAAGUAAAUAAAUAAAUAAAUAAAAUUUAGAUUAAUUUGCUGUUAUAUUUUUAUAUAAACUAUGACAUAAGUAUAAACAAAAAAAUAAAAUAAGUAAAUAAAUAAAUAAAAUUUAGAUUAAUUUGCUGUUACAUUUUUAUAUAAGCUAUGUUUAUGACAGACUUUCCUAUAAUAUUCUUAUCAUAAUGUUCUUGCACUUGAAAGAAUGUGCAUUCUGCAGUUGUGUGCAGGUGUUAUGUGUAUUUCAACUGGGUCAAGUUUGUUAAUCAGGUUGGUCAAAUUAUCUACAUCUUUACUGAUAUUUUUGUCUGUUUUUCUAUAAAUUACUGAGAGAGGCUAAAGCCCGCCACUAUUAUUAUGAAUUUGUUUAUUUCUCCUUUGAGUUUUGUUAAUUUUUGUUUUAUGCAUUUAGAGAUUGUGUUAUUAGGUUCAUACCCAUUUAAAAUUGACGUUUUCUGGUAGAGUGAACCCUUUAUUAUGUGAAAUGGCUUUCUCUACCACUCACAGUGGUAUUUUUUUCACUUUCCCCCUUAUUUUUGAAUUUUCAGUGUUCUUAUAAUGAUGUCAUGUCUCUUGAAUAGAGUUGUUUUAAUCAAGUCUGUCAAUUUUUGUCUUUUGUGUAUUUCGUGAAUUUACAUUUAUUGUAAUUACUGAUAUAGUUGUGUUCAUAAAUACCAUCUUACUAUUUGUUUCCAUUUGUCUUACCCAUUUUUGUUUUUAUUUUUUUCUUUUCUGUUGCUUUCUUUCUGAUUAUUUUUUUAAUUCCGUUUCCCCCCCUACCAUUGGUUCUACUUACACAUUCUUUUAUAAUUUCUUCAGUGGUUUCCUCCACAGAUUACAACUUCUGUACAUUAUUAUAAUCUAAUACAAAUUUUACUUUUUAUUGUUUCCCAGACAAUGCUAUGAUCUCACAAUACUCAAUCUCUAUUUACCUCCAUUCUACUCUUGCAUGUAUAUUAUUAUUACUCAUUUUAAUUUCACAUAUAUUUUACACCUAAUGAGACAUUAUUAUUAUUGCUAUGUGCAGUCAAUAUUCAUUUGUAUUCACCCACAUAUUCACUCUGUUUUUUUUUAUUAUUUCCUGCAUUUCUGUGAUUCUAUCAUAGAUCAGUUUUCUUCUACCUGAAGAAUUCCCUUUAGUAUUUUUUGUGUAUGCACAUCUGCUGACAGCAAAUUUUCUCAGGUUUUUUUGUGUUUUUUUGUUUGCUUGUUUUUGAGACAGGGUCUCACUCUGUCGCCCAGGCUGGAGUGCAGUGGCAUGAUCAUGGUUCACUGUAGCCUCAACCUCCUAGGUUCAAGCAGUCCUCCCACCUCAGCCUCCCGAGUAGCGGGACUACAGGCAGGCACCACCAUACCUGGCUAAUUCUUUUGUAUUUUUUGUAGAGAAGGGAUUUCACCAUGUUGCUCAGGCUGGUCUCAAACUCCAGAACUCAAACAAUCUGCCUGCUUUGACCUCCCAAAGGACUGGGAUUACAGGCCACCUCACCCAGCCUUUCUCAGUUUUUGAAUAGAAACAUCUAUUUCAAAUUCAUUUUUAAGUAUAUUUUGUGAAUAUAGGAUUACAGGUUGACACUUUUUUCUUUGAGGAACUUCAGAAUGGCACUCCAUUAUCUUCUCACUUCCAUCAUUUCUGUUGACAAGUGAUUUUCAGUGCUAUUGUUUCUCCUUUGAGAGUAAUGUGUCAGUAACGUGCGCUGGCUCAUGCCUGUCAUCCCAGCACCCUUGAGCCCAGGAGUUCAAAACCAGCCCAGGCAACAGAGCAAGAUCCCCCACUCUACAAAAGAAAACGACAGGAGGGAGGCAGGAAGGAGGAGAGAGGGAGGGAGGGGAAAGAAAAAAGAAAAGAAGAAAUGUGUCCCUCCUACCUGCCUCUAGCUGCUUUUAAUGUUUUUUCCUUGUCUUUCAUUUGCAGCAGUUUAAGUAUAGUGUGCCUGGGCCGGGUGCGGUGGCUCACGCCUAUAAUCCCAGCACUUUGGGAGGCCAAGGCCAGUGGAUCACCUGAGGUCAGGAAUUCGGGACCAACCUGGCCAACAUGUGAAACCCCAUCUCCACUAAAAAAUCCAAAAAUUAGCCAGGCAUGGUGGUGCGUGCCUGUAAUCCCAGCUAUUCAGGAGACUGAGGCAGGAGAAUCGCUGGACCUUGGGGAGGCGGAGGUUGCAGUGAGCUGAGAUCGCACACUACCGUACUCCAGCCUGGGUGACAAAGAAAAACUCCGUCUCAAAAAAUAAUAAUAAUAAAAAAGUAUAGUGUGCCUGGAUGCAGUUUUGUUUUUAUUUAUCCUGCUUGGGGAUCAUAAAGCUUUAUCAGUUUUGGAAAGUUCUCAGCCUAUAUUUAUUUAACUGUUCCUUCUGCCCCAUCUUCCUCCCUUCUUCUAAGACUCCAGUUACGUAUGUAUUAGGCCUGUUCACCACUUCCCACAAGUAUCUUAUGUUCUUUGCUGUAUUUUCCAUACUCUUUGUCUCUGUUUUUCAGCUUAGAGUUUUUAUUCUGUCCUGUAUUACAGUUCAAAGAAUGUUCCUUCUGCUAAAUCUAAUUGUAGUUAACCCAUAUGCUAAGUACUUAAUUUCAGUUAUUGUAUUUUUAAGUUUUAAAUUUCCAUUUCAUUCUUUCUUAUAGAUUCCAGUUCUUUGAUGAAAGUCUCUAUUCCACCCAUCAAGUCUGUGUCUGAUAACACCAAUAUCUGGGUCAUUAGUGGCUCCGUUUUGUUGUGUCUGUUUUCCCCUCCUUCCUGUUUUGUGGUGUGUUUGAUCACUUAUUGUUGAAUGCUAACCAUUAUAAUAAAUUUUAGUGGCUCCAGGAAACAUUAUCUGAAAACAAUGUCUGUCUCAAGGGAGGGUUUACCAUGUCAUCUGAUAGACAGAGUGGGAAGAUUUUACCUUAAUCCAAUGGUACUGAACUGACUAGAGUCUAUGUUGCAGUUUUUGGAAGGCUUCAUCUCCAUCUCUGGUUUGCCCAUCUAUCUAGAGUGUGGUCCUCCAAGGAUUCCAGCUGAGCGUCUGAUGUGAUUAUUAGGCUUCUUUUCCUUGGUGGGUCCUGAACUCCAACUUUUAUCUCAUUAAUAUGACACUGCCAAAACCUGCUGCCUUUCAUAGCCUUUCUGCAUAGCUUAAUUCAGCAGAUGCCUCAAGGGGAAAGUGUUCCUUUUCUGUGUCUCCCUUCUACAUGAUAUCUCGGCCCCUUCAGUUCCAGCUGCCUUGACAACCUCAGUCUCCAUUUCUUGUCUCUCCAGCUGAAGACUCUGCUGACUUUGCUGCCUCUUAGCUAUGGCCGUCUGCCCAAAUGCUCGGCCUCUUAGCUAAAAUCAGCACGUUUCCUGAAAGGAAAAGUAGUUCACAGAGGGCCAGCUUGCCUCCUUGUGUUUUUCUUCUUUUGAGAUUAUGGCCCUUCAAAUGUUUGUUAACUGGGAAGCUUUCAAAAAACUUUUUAAAAAAGUUUUCUGUGUUUUAUUCAGCCUUUCCAGUUGUUCUUGGAAUGAGUGUUGGUCUGCCUCAAGCAGAAAAAAAAAUCUCAGAAUUCUUUUCUCAGAAAAAGGAUUCUCAGCAGAGAGUGAUUUUAUACACGGAAUGGGAUUAAACAAUUCUUGGGAAAGCUGGUGAAGCCAACGAGGGAACAGUUACUUUUAUCAGUGUGCAAUUUUUUUGCUAUAAUGGUGCAUAACAACUAAUCACAACAUGUCAAUGCCAUACUUAAAUAAGCACUCAUUUCU
rnacentral:lncRNA from 1 species